rnacentral:rRNA from 1 species
AGAGUUUGAUCAUGGCUCAGGAUGAACGCUAGCUACAGGCUUAACACAUGCAAGUCGAGGUGGCAGCAUGAACUUAGCUUGCUAAGUUUGAUGGCGACCGGCGCACGGGUGAGUAACACGUAUCCAACCUUCCGUUUACUCAGGGAUAGCCUUUCGAAAGAAAGAUUAAUACCUGAUAGUAUGGUGAGAUUGCAUGAUAGCACCAUUAAAGAUUUUAUUGGUAAACGAGUGGGGAUGCGUU